GGGUGAAGGAACUAGGCAAAAUGGCACCGUAACUUCGGGAGAAGGUGCGCCGGCGAGGGUGAAGGACUUGCUCCGUAAGCCCAUGCCGGUCGAAGAUACCAGGCCGCUGCGACUGUUUAUUAAAAACACAGCACUCUGCAAACACGAAAGUGGACGUAUAGGGUGUGACGCCUGCCCGGUGCCGGAAGGUUAAUUGAUGGGGUUAGCGCAAGCGAAGCUCUUGAUCGAAGCCCCGGUAAACGGCGGCCGUAACUAUAACGGUCCUAAGGUAGCGAAAUUCCUUGUCGGGUAAGUUCCGACCUGCACGAAUGGCGUAACGAUGGCGGCGCUGUCUCCACCCGAGACUCAGUGAAAUUGAAAUCGCUGUGAAGAUGCAGUGUAUCCGCGGCUAGACGGAAAGACCCCGUGAACCUUUACUAUAGCUUUGCACUGGACUUUGAAUUUGCUUGUGUAGGAUAGGUGGGAGGCUUUGAAGUGGGGACGCCAGUUCUCAUGGAGCCAUCCUUGAAAUACCACCCUGGCAACUUUGAGGUUCUAACUCAGGUCCGUUAUCCGGAUCGAGGACAGUGUAUGGUGGGUAGUUUGACUGGGGCGGUCUCCUCCCAAAGAGUAACGGAGGAGUACGAAGGUGCGCUCAGACCGGUCGGAAAUCGGUCGUAGAGUAUAAAGGCAAAAGCGCGCUUGACUGCGAGACAAACACGUCGAGCAGGUACGAAAGUAGGUCUUAGUGAUCCGGUGGUUCUGUAUGGAAGGGCCAUCGCUCAACGGAUAAAAGGUACUCCGGGGAUAACAGGCUGAUACCGCCCAAGAGUUCAUAUCGACGGCGGUGUUUGGCACCUCGAUGUCGGCUCAUCACAUCCUGGGGCUGAAGCCGGUCCCAAGGGUAUGGCUGUUCGCCAUUUAAAGUGGUACGCGAGCUGGGUUUAGAACGUCGUGAGACAGUUCGGUCCCUAUCUGCCGUGGACGUUUGAGAUUUGAGAGGGGCUGCUCCUAGUACGAGAGGACCGGAGUGGACGAACCUCUGGUGUUCCGGUUGUCACGCCAGUGGCAUUGCCGGGUAGCUAUGUUCGGAAGAGAUAACCGCUGAAAGCAUC
rnacentral:rRNA from 1 species